AUUGAACGCUGGCGGCAGGCUUAACACAUGCAAGUCGAACGAGUGGCGGACGGGUGAGUAAUGUCUGGGAAACUGACCGAUGGAGGGGGAUAACUAAUGGAAACGGUAGCUAAUACAGAAUACCAUCGGAUGUGCCCAGCUGGGAUUUUCUAGUAGGUGGGGUAACGGAUAACCUAGGCGACGAUCCCUAGCUGGUCUGAGAGGAUGUCCAGCAACACCGGAACUGAGACACGGUCCAGACUCCGACCGGAGGCAGCAGUGGGGAAUAUUGCACCAUGGGCUCAAGCCUGAUGCAGCCAUGCCGCGUGUAUGAAGAAGGCCUUCGGGUUGUAAAGGUCUUUCAGCGAUGAGGCGUUACUCGCAGAAGAAGCACCGGCUAACUCCGUGCCAGCAGCCGCGGUAAUUC
rnacentral:rRNA from 1 species